GUUAAACUAAACAACUGCGCUUUAAAGAUUAAAUUCUACAUACCUGCCGCGCAGUCUUUUUUCCCAUCGUCCUGAAAUUACUAGAUGGCCAGCUGUAGUUGUGGGAAACCCAUACAGUAUUUCGAACUUGUUUUGAAUGUACCUGCCAUGGCCAUGGGAAAUUCCCUAUACGAGAUUUUUCCAUGGUCGGAAUAUUUAUCCCAUCUAUAUCAGCU